rnacentral:rRNA from 1 species
AGUGAACGCUGGCGGUAGGCCUAACACAUGCAAGUCGAACGGCAGCACAGUAAGAGCUUGCUCUUACGGGUGGCGAGUGGCGGACGGGUGAGGAAUACAUCGGAAUCUACUUUUUCGUGGGGGAUAACGUAGGGAAACUUACGCUAAUACCGCAUACGACCUACGGGUGAAAGCAGGGGAUCUUCGGACCUUGCGCGAUUGAAUGAGCCGAUGUCGGAUUAGCUAGUUGGCGGGGUAAAGGCCCACCAAGGCGACGAUCCGUAGCUGGUCUGAGAGGAUGAUCAGCCACACUGGAACUGAGACACGGUCCAGGCUCCUACGGGAGGCAGCAGUGGGGAAUAUUGGACAAUGGGCGCAAGCCUGAUCCAGCCAUACCGCGUGGGUGAAGAAGGCCUUCGGGUUGUAAAGCCCUUUUGUUGGGAAAGAAAAGCAGCAGGUUAAUACCCCGCUGUUCUGACGGUACACAAAGAAUAAGCACCGGCUAACUUCGUG